rnacentral:lncRNA from 1 species
CUAAAUUAAAACAAUUAAAAUUCAACUAAUAUUAAUUUCAACAAAAUUAUAACUUGCAAGUUUGCAACUGUGAAGCAACCGUCACAAUGAAAACAAAUUAACAUUCUAAUGCAUGCCGGAUAUCAUCAGAGAUCCUAGAUUCUUCACUUUAACAAAUAAAAAAAAAGCAUCACGUUGUGUCCCAGAAAUUUCAAAAUUGCAGGUCCAAGUCCAGCAAGAAAAUCAAAAUUUCAGAAGUAAAAGGCACGAAAUGGAAACCCCAUCCAAAUUCAUUACCACUGAAUCCUAUACUAGAUUCAACCCCAAUCCUCAACUGUUUGGCUGCCGAAAAAUUUUCCAAUUUUCUCGAGAAUGACAACAAAAUACAGGAUACCAUACAGCCAAAUUAAAUUGCACUAGUAGGAGCAGGAGUAAAUUGAUUAAAUAUUCGCCAUUAUUUUCAUUUAUUUUCUCACCAAACGAACAAACGUAUUGGAGCAUAAUGAGUACCUGUUGAACAGCUUGCGAUGGCUUGGAUCGCUUGUUGAGGGACCCAUGCUCUUCCUCUAAAGGAUCCUCCACGAUCUCUAGCUUCACCGGCACCUUGUUCCCACUUGACGACGUCGUUUCGGGUUCAGCCGGCA